rnacentral:snoRNA from 1 species
CCCCUCUCAGGGUCACGCCUGGAGAGUUUCCAGGACUCUACCAGUUUUGGUAUGGGAGGGAGAGUCAAGCAGAGGCCUACCCAUUCCAUUCCUAGCUUGGGCAGUGGCUAGCGAGGGGAAGGCAAUCUGCUACAAGU